CCUACGGGAGGCAGCAGUGGGGAAUAUUGCACAAUGGGGGAAACCCUGAUGCAGCGACGCCGCGUGAGUGAAGAAGUAAUUCGUUACGUAAAGCUCUAUCAGCAGGGAAGAAAUACUGACCUUACGGUCAGCAGACGGUACCUGAGUAAUAAGCCCCGGCUAACUACGUGCCAGCAGCCGCGGGAAUACGUAGGGGGCAAGCGUUAUCCGGAUUUACUGGGUGGAAAGGGAGCGUAGACGGUGCGCCAAGUCUGGAGUGAAAUGCCGCAGCUUAACUGCGGAACUGCUUUGGAAUCUGGCGAACUAGAGUGCGGGAGGGGUAAGCGGAAUUCCUAGUGUAGCGGUGAAAUGCGUAGAUAUUAGGAGGAACACCGGUGGCGAAGGCGGCUUACUGGACCGUAACUGACGUUGAGGCUCGAAAGCGUGGGGAGCAAACAGGAUUAGAUACCCGAGUAGUC
rnacentral:rRNA from 1 species